CUCAUCCUUAAGGACUUUGGCUGUGGUUUCGCCCACACUGAAAAGUCCACCCAUUCCACGCCCUCCUCGACCUAAGCCUGCAGGACCUCUUCUUAAUGUGUACAAUAAAGAGCCAAUAAUAAGGAUUGUGGGCAGCAAACUCAGGAGAAAUGAUCCAUCACUCUCUGUUGAGUAGACUACAGGCAACCUGUUCUCCACUUCUAUACCCAGGUCUUGCUGCACAGUUUCAAGAUUUCGUUCGAAAGUGUCCACACUACCGAUAUUAAACCAGACGUACUGCCAUUCAUGAGGAGACUUUCCUGACACAAAGAUCACUCUAACAAAGCGCUUGUUCACCACUUCCAGUCUGUCCACCACUCCUUUAGAAAGGUAGUUAUUAACAAAGUCUUUCCAGGUGAUUUCUCUCCCAGGGACCCUGAAGAAGAAGUAAUACACAACCAUCGUCCAGAAAAAUGAACUUCCCACUACGUACAUACGGAACUCCCUGACGUCCCAAGGAAUGUCACCCUUCUGCAAUCUGGUCCACCAGUUUGCAUCUUCUUUCUUGCCGCCUUUCUUCCCACCGCUGCCGCCUCCUCCACUACCAGUCCCACUUGGCUGUCGGGCAGCAGCUUGCUUUGCUUCUUUUGUUUCUCCAGCUGAACCUUUAGUUCCAUUAGGUUUCUUCCCAUUGGGAAAAUAUUUUUCAAAUCCUUUGGGAGGCUGUGAGAAGAGCCUUCUGCAAGCAGCAAUGACGCUUGCCAAGACCGUCCUUCUGUGAGUCGUAACACCGGUGGGAACACUUUCACGAAGCUGUGCCAGGCAGGGCCGCGGCGGCAGCAGGCCUCUCCCGCACAGCAGCUGCUGCAGCAGUACCCCGGGCAGCCGCCGCCCGCCGCCCAGCGCCAGCAGCAGGUAGCGCUGCGCCAUGGCCCCAACGGCCGUCCCGUGGCCGCCGCUCCGCCGUCACGCCGCCGCUCCGCCCCCGCGCGCUACGUC
rnacentral:lncRNA from 1 species